UUCACUGUCAAACUAGAAGAAGUAGAGGAUUGGCUGUAUGAAGAUGGGGAAGAUGAGAUUAACGGAGUAUACGUUGAUAAACUUGAUGAACUCAAGAAGCAAGGUGAUCCUAUAGAAGAGCGCCACAUGGUACAUACAGAGAGGGGUUCAGUGAUAGACCAGCUUGUGUAUUGCAUCAAUAGCUACAGAGAGGCUGCAAUGUCAACUGAUCCCAAGUUCGAUCAUAUUGAAUUAUCGGAGAAGGAAAAGGUACUGAAUGAGUGUGUGAAAGCUGAAGGCUG